UGCCAGCCGCCGCGGUAAUACGGAGGGUGGCAAGCGUUGUUCGGAUUCACUGGGCAUAAAGGGCGUGUAGGCGGUAUGGCAAGCGGUGUGUGAAAUCCCGGGGCUCAACCCCGGAACUGCACACCGAACUGCCGUACUAGAGGACAGGAGGGGGAUGUGGAACUCUAGGUGUAGCGGUGAAAUGCGUAGAUAUCUAGAGGAACGCCGGUGGCGAAAGCGACAUCCUGGCCUGUAUCUGACGCUGAGGCGCGAAAGCGUGGGUAGCAAACAGGAUUAGAUA
rnacentral:rRNA from 1 species